GGGUGGUAGUCAACUAAGUGUUACUCAGAGUAGACCCACUGAAAUUAACCAACAUGACUCAAUUAUGACAACUGAUUUCAGUGGGUCUACUCUGAGUAACACUUAGUUGACUAACACCCCU